rnacentral:rRNA from 1 species
AGUGAACGCUGGCGGUAGGCCUAACACAUGCAAGUCGAACGGCAGCACAGUAAGAGCUUGCUCUUACGGGUGGCGAGUGGCGGACGGGUGAGGAAUACAUCGGAAUCUACUUUUUCGUGGGGGAUAACGUAGGGAAACUUACGCUAAUACCGCAUACGACCUACGGGUGAAAGCAGUGGAUCUUCGGACCUUGCGCGAUUGAAUGAGCCGAUGUCGGAUUAGCUAGUUGGCGGGGUAAAGGCCCACCAAGGCGACGAUCCGUAGCUGGUCUGAGAGGAUGAUCAGCCACACUGGAACUGAGACACGGUCCAGACUCCUACGGGAGGCAGCAGUGGGGAAUAUUGGACAAUGGGCGCAAGCCUGAUCCAGCCAUACCGCGUGGGUGAGGAAGGCCUUCGGGUUGUAAAGCCCUUUUGUUGGGAAAGAAAAGCAGCAGGUUAAUACCCCGCUGUUCUGACGGUACCCAAAGAAUAAGCACCGGCUAACUUCGUG